UGGAAAAAUCUCUAAAUAGCCUUAACAAGCCUCUAGGCAGUGUAACUUGAAGCUUACUGAGGCUCUAGUUGCAUCUGGUUUUCAUUAGAUCCAUCAUGAUUAUUCCCUCUUUACCAAGACUGAUGGCACAUACAUAGUUCCGAUUCUAAUUUAUGUUGAUGAUUGAUCAUCACUGACUCCUAUUUUUCACUUAUCAAGGAAGCCAAGCAUUUAUUACAUCAUCAUUUCAAAAUCAAGGACCUGGGGAGCUGAG
rnacentral:lncRNA from 1 species